UACAGAGGUCUCAAGCGUUGUUCGGAUUCAUUGGGCGUAAAGGGUGCGUAGGCGGCGCGGUAAGUCGGGUGUGAAAUCUCGGGGCUUAACUCCGAAACUGCAUUCGAUACUGCCGUGCUUGAGGACUGGAGAGGAGACUGGAAUUCCCGGUGUAGCGGUGAAAUGCGCAGAUAUCAGGAAGAACACCAAUGGCGAAGGCAGCUCUCUGGGACGGUACUGACACUGAGACGCGAAAGCGUGGGGAGCGAACAGG
rnacentral:rRNA from 1 species